GGCCCUGUGGGCAAACUGGCAAAGCCGGCAAGUUCAAAACUUGUUAUCUAAUUGCAGGUUCGACUCCUGCCAGGGCUA
rnacentral:tRNA from 1 species